CAUUGGUGAGAAUCCAAUGCCCGGAAAACCUAAGGGUUCCUCCGCAAGGUUUGUCCACGGAGGGUGAGUCAGGGCCUAAGAUCAGGCCGAAAGGCGUAGUCGAUCGACAACAGGUGAAUAUUCCUGUACUACCCCUUGUUGGUCCCGAGGGACGGAGGAGACUAGGUUAGCUGAAAGAUGGUUAUCGGUUCAAGACGUUGAGUUUUAAUCUCAAUGUACCAUAUUGAUGAUAUUAUGAUGCCUAAGGCAAAAUAAUGGGUAUUUGGUGAAACAUGUUCCAUUAAAUAUGUUUCAUUCCUUGAAUUGAAUGUGGUAGCACAUCAUAUGCA
rnacentral:ncRNA from 1 species